AUAAGGAAGAAUAAAGAAAAAUCUUUUAGCAAUUUGAUAAGAACUCCGAAGUUAAGCGUGCUUGGGCGAGAGUAGUACUAGGAUGGGUGACCCCCUGGGAAGUCCUCGUGUUGCAUCCC
rnacentral:rRNA from 1 species